UGCUCUCAUCAAUUUUGUCUGGAAGCAGGA
rnacentral:piRNA from 1 species